AGUGAACGUUGGCGGCGUGGAUUAGGCAUGCAAGUCGCGCGGAAAGGCCCCGCAAGGGGCACUCGAGCGGCGUAAGGGAUAGUAACACGUGGGUAACCUACCCCUGGGACUGGGAUAGCUGCGGGGAACUGCAGGUAAUACCGGAUAACGUCCCCGGACCAAAGGUGUGAUUCCGCCUGGGGAGGGGCCCGCGUCCUAUUAGCUAGUUGGCAGGGUAACGGCCUACCAAGGAAAAGAUGGGUAGGGGGUGUGAGAGCACGACCCCCAUCACUGGGACUGAGACACUGCCCAGACACCUACGGGUGGCUGCAGUCGAGAAUCUUCGGCAAUGGGCGCAAGCCUGACCGAGCGACGCCGCGUGCGGGAUGAAGGCCCUCGGGUUGUAAACCGCUGUCAGAGGGAAAGAAGUGCUGGGGGGUUCUCCCUUCAGUUUGACUGACCCUCAGAGGAAGUACGGGCUAAGUUCGUGCCAGCAGCCGCCGUAA
rnacentral:rRNA from 1 species